CCUACGGGUGGCAGCAGUGGGGAAUAUUGGGCAAUGGAGGCAACUCUGACCCAGCAACGCCGCGUGAAUGAUGAAGGUCUUCGGAUUGUAAAGUUCUUUUCUAAGGGAAGAAGAAAGUGACGGUACCUUAGGAAAAAGCAUCGGCUAACUCCGUGCCAGCAGCCGCGGUAAUACGGAGGAUGCGAGCGUUAUCCGGAUUUAUUGGGUUUAAAGGGUGCGUAGGCGGGACCUUAAGUCAGCGGUAAAAUUGCGGUGCUCAACGCCGUAGAGCCGUUGAAACUGGGGCUCUUGAGUGAGCGAGAAGUAUGCGGAAUGCGUGGUGUAGCGGUGAAAUGCAUAGAUAUCACGCAGAACCCCGAUUGCGAAGGCAGCAUACCGGCGCUCAACUGACGCUGAGGCACGAAAGUGCGGGUAUCGAACAGGAUUAGAUACCCCUGUAGUC
rnacentral:rRNA from 1 species